GGACCACCGGUUAAGCACCUGAGGACUUUGUAUAAAGUGCUUCCAAAUUGGUCUCUGCUUACUCGUGGCUCUGCCCAGCCUAAUCGGGAUUACAGGCGUGAGUAUAAGUAUGUAUGUAGUAGAUACUUUUUUCUGUCACCUAUCUAUGGUACAAAUCAUAAUAUACUGUUUGUUGAAAAAAAGUUAAAUAAGUCUAGUUAGGCAGUGAGCGUGUUGUGAAUUUAAGCCUGUAAUUUAUUUCAGAUCUCUAAAGACGAUGAUAACCAUUAUGAAGAAUGACAUGCAAAGGCUAUUUGAACCACAUAUCAACAAUUUUCUGACCAUGACCAAGUGAUGAAUAUGAUACAAGUCUACCUCAUGAAAGCCACACUACUUUUCAAAGAAAAAUAUUUUCUUUGGAGUUGUAGGUAUUAUAGUGAAAACUUAAUCCUGACUUCUGUUCUGCAUAAAUGAGAAUCGCACUAUGCCAGGUAACAUAAUAUAGCGAGUACCCUGGUUGAGUCAAGAUAAUAUAAAAUAAGUGGAAAGAUAAUGUGGCCCAAGUAGUAAAGGAAAGGAUGUGCAAACAGCCGAAUGUGAAUCUGGCAAUAAUGUGCCUGUUUAAAUGAGUUUUAGUUG